GUUACUUGGAAGCUACCUUCGUCAAUUCCACUACUAUUCUUUAAUAACAGAUGAUAUAAUCCGGAAUCGGAUCUUUUUGCAUUGACUGUUACUUCAGGCGUUGGUUCACCGACAAAGUCGAUAUCCACGUGGAAAAUUAAGCCAGCCUUAACACGAAUAUCUUGCAGAGGUGUCUUUAUCUUCGGUGCCACUGAAAUAAAACAUUUAUUUAUGCAACUUUGUACUUGAAUGCAUUUUGCUUUAAACGAAGAGAACAUCUUGGAAUAAAAUAAAGUAGCAAAGACA
rnacentral:lncRNA from 1 species